rnacentral:rRNA from 1 species
UAGGGAAUCUUCCACAAUGGGCGAAAAGCCUGAUGGAGCAACGCCGCGUGUGUGAUGAAGGGUUUCGGCUCGUAAAACACUGUUGUAAGAGAAGAAUGACAUUGAGAGUAACUGUUCAAUGUGUGACGGUAUCUUACCAGAAAGGAACGGCUAAAUACGUGCCAG